rnacentral:lncRNA from 13 species
GAUGAAAAUGAAAUCACUGAUAGCAAUAACCAUCGAUCUUGGAUUUAAAUAUAUUUGCAAUAUAUAAUGUACCCAUCUUCACACUUUUUCCUAAAUUCAGCCAGAUAAUUAAUUUUAUGGAAUAUUGCUGUAUAGCAUAUUUCCUCUAUCUUUCCAUUCAUAGUACCUUUGGAAAUAACUACUAUUAGCCACAACUAAAAUAUUAAUUAAAGGAAAAUUUGGCUGGACACAGUGGCUCACACCUGUAACCCCAGUGCUUUGGAAGGCCAAGGAGAAUCUUUAAAGAUCAUCACAUGGUUAGUCGUGUCCUCUUUUCCUUCUACCCAAAACCUCCAUGUCCUGGAGAGGGAUUGCUCCUUUAACGCAGCCAAAGUAGCCUGGAAUAGAGAUGUAACAUGAGUGACGGAGAAAUCUUUAUUGUUAUGUUGAGAAGACAAAUGCAACGUGUGGAAAAGUGCCCAGUGCUCUUUGAAAGGCCUGAUUUAAAUGUCAGAUCAAAGCUCUGUGAACUGGAUUGCAUUUCAGAAGAACAGAUUGAUGUCCCAUACAUGAGAUACCUUCCCCAACAGGCCAAAAUGUUUUCCAGAUUGGAUGCUUGGCACAGAGCAGCAUUCUGAAAUAAAACUCCUAUUGUUUUUCUCUUUCUCCUUAUA